rfam:Equus caballus chromosome X, whole genome shotgun sequence.
GGAUAUGAGGGCGAUCUUGCUAUAACAUCUAUCACCUCGUUGAUCUCCAGAGUUGACUUGGCUGAUCAGGCUGGCUAGGCAAGUGUCCCCUUCUUCCUUCACCACUCCAUGUCUGCCCUUCUGGAAGCUACAUGCUCGGUCGAAGAGGAUGAGCUUCCCUUCCCUGAUAGAGGAACACCAUUCUUUGGUCAAGACUAUACCAGUAGUUGUGCUCCCCUGCUAGAACCUCCAAACAAGCUCUCAAGGUCCAUUUGUAGGAGAACAUAGGAUAGAGAAGCUUCUAAGACUGGAGACACAUCCAAAUGAAGCACUGCAUGUGGCAGUAGGCCUUUCUUA